rnacentral:hammerhead_ribozyme from 1 species
GCAGUGCUGACGAGUCCAAAACAGGACGAAACAGCUGUCUAGUGC